rnacentral:rRNA from 1 species
CCUACGGGAGGCAGCAGUGGGGAAUCUUGCGCAAUGGGGGAAACCUUGACGCAGCAACGCCGCGUGGGUGAUGAAGGCCUUCGGGUCGUAAAGCCCUGUCAGGUGGGAAGAAACAUGUCGGUGCUAAUAUCACCGAUGUUUGACGGUACCGCCGGAGGAAGCACCGGCUAACUCCGUGCCAGCAGCCGCGGUAAUACGGAGGGUGCAAGCGUUGUUCGGAAUUACUGGGCUUAAAGGGCGCGUAGGUGGUGGCAUAAGUCCGAGGUGGAAGGCUAAGGCUUAACCUUAGAAUUGCCUUGGAAACUGUAUCACUUGAGUCAGCGAGGGGAUGGCGGAAUUCCAGGCGUAGCGGUGAAAUGCGUAGAUAUCUGGAGGAAGGCCGGUGGCGAAGGCGGCCAUCUGGCGCUGAACUGACACUGAGGCGCGAAAGCGUGGGGAGCAAACAGGAUUAGAUACCCCGGUAGUCCUAGCCGUAAACGAUGAACACUAGAUGUUGGUGGUAUCAACCCCGCCAGUGUCGUAGCUAACGCAUUAAGUGUUCCGCCCGGGGAGUACGGCCGCAAGGCUAAAACUCAAAGGAAUUGACGG